UGUUAUGUGGCUUAGCUGGUUAAAUCGCCGUUCUAGCGAAUACGGAGUCGUGGGUUCAAAUUCCACCAGAACGC
rnacentral:tRNA from 1 species